UACAGAGGGGGCAAGCGUUGUUCGGAAUUACUGGGCGUAAAGGGCGCGUAGGCGGCCUGUUAAGUCGAACGUGAAAUCCCCGGGCUCAACCCGGGAACUGCGUCCGAUACUGGCAGGCUUGAAUCCGGGAGAGGGAUGCGGAAUUCCAGGUGUAGCGGUGAAAUGCGUAGAUAUCUGGAGGAACACCGGUGGCGAAGGCGGGUCUCUGGGCCGAUGACUGACGCUGAGGAGCGAAAGCGUGGGGAGCGAACAGG
rnacentral:rRNA from 1 species